rnacentral:rRNA from 1 species
GAUGAACGCUGGCGGCGUGCCUAAUACAUGCAAGUCGAGCGAACAGACGAGGAGCUUGCUCCUCUGACGUUAGCGGCGGACGGGUGAGUAACACGUGGAUAACCUACCUAUAAGACUGGGAUAACUUCGGGAAACCGGAGCUAAUACCGGAUAAUAUAUUAAACCGCAUGGUUCAAUAGUGAAAGACGGUUUUGCUGUCACUUAUAGAUGGAUCCGCGCCGCAUUAGCUAGUUGGUAAGGUAACGGCUUACCAAGGCAACGAUGCGUAGCCGACCUGAGAGGGUGAUCGGCCACACUGGAACUGAGACACGGUCCAGACUCCUACGGGAGGCAGCAGUAGGGAAUCUUCCGCAAUGGGCGAAAGCCUGACGGAGCAACGCCGCGUGAGUGCUGAAGGUCUUCGGAUCGUAAAACUCUGUUAUUAGGGAAGAACAAAUGUGUAAGUAACUAUGCACGUCUUGACGGUACCUAAUCAGAAAGCCACGGCUAACUACGUG